UUUAGGAGCAACACUUCAGCUCCUUCCCAAGCAUCUAUUAAUCUGUUGGGAAUACUUCAGAGUUUAAUGUGCUUGUGAAAUGAAGACUCCACCGCUGCUAACUGCCCGUUGGUCAUUGGGGCUCGUGUAGAAUGAGGUUGCACUCGAGUCUCUGAGUCGUAAUCAUAUUCAGUGACAUUUUCCGAUUCUGUUUCAAUUCCUACUGAAUUCAGUGAAAAGGAAACUAACACAAAAUUUACGUUUCAGUUUCUGCAUAUUGCAGUUCAAGGAGUAUUCUGGUCUUCAACGUCAAUUUGUAGUAAGAAGGUACUUUAGACACAUUGCUUAACAACUUCAAAUUAGGUCUGAGCUUUUGCAUUACGUAAUUUGCUAGAGAAGUUUGCAGUCAACUGUACUAAAGAUGCUUUGCAAUAGCACACACUUCACUGAAGCUAACCGAAUAUACUCGUGCAUGUAGCCACCUAGUUGAAAAACUGUAAUGUACUACAGUACUGUUAUAAACUCUGUUUUGUUUAGUUGGUUUCCAAGAUACUAUAUUAGAAGUACUCAAAUAUCUAGGGUUUUGACAAAAGGAAUAGUUUCUAUAAAAGAUCAGAAACACAACACAUUCUACAAGGCUUGUAGAUUCACUCCAUUCUUGUUAAUCUUCUGUUAAAGUUGUCACUUCAAUGGUUGAGUACUUAAACAAGAAUUUUCAAUUUGUACUCAUUUUUCGUUUGUCUGCACUUACAAGAAAAAAUAACUGCACAGAAACUAGGCUACCCUUCUCCAAGUGAACUUUCUAUAAGAAAAUCAGACUGGAUGAGUAUAUGCAACACCCCAACUUGGAGAUUGGGAAAUGCCCAUCCCUAUUUUGUCUAUGAGGGAAGAUUAACAGCACAUAGAAACAUCUGAGUUACUAGCUUUCAGACAAAAUGACUUCAAUAGCAUGGCAUACACACUAUUUUCUUCUGGAAAGACAUGCAUCAAAAAAUACAAGGACAAAAAAUAUGAGGCAUGUUAACCAACUUAAGUUCCUGGUGCAAGCCUAAAGAAAAUGUUAUGUUACCCUUAAAUAAACAAACAAGAAUAGGAUAACAUGGUAUAAAACAAAAAUACUAAGAAGUUAAGACUUACCCUAUGGCCUUCUUCAAUAUAAGACUCGUCAUCAUCAAGUAUGAGACAAGAUUCCUAUUACCUUCUGCAGGACAUGUAAUACUCGUAUUAGAGAUCAUGUCCUAUAAAAUAGAUCAGAGAUCAUGUCAUAGUGUUUUCUCUCCACACACCUCAAAAACUCCACUUGAACCUCAACUUAACAUCAAAUUUUAAAAUUCAAGGUUCUAUAUAGUAAUUCCAGGACAACAAAGUUCUAUCUAGCAAUUCCAGAACAACAUCAGUUUCUAAAGCAAACAACAAAUAUAGAGAAAUAUGUUAAUUUGUCCACUCCUAGUAAAUUCAACAUUUAUUAGAAAAGAUCAUUGAAAUUGAAUAGAACUAUACGUGAAACAAAGUGCAUGUGAGCACUGAAGAGUCAAAUAUUUAAAGUCACACCCGUACUAGUUAAAUA
rnacentral:lncRNA from 1 species